rnacentral:rRNA from 1 species
GGACCCGCACAAGUAGUGGAGCAUGUGGUUUAAUUCGAAGAUACGCGCAGAACCUUACCAACACUUGACAUGUUCGUCGCGACUCUAAGAGAUUAGAGUUUUCGGUUCGGCCGGACGAAACACAGGUGCUGCAUGGCUGUCGUCAGCUCGUGUCGUGAGAUGUUGGGUUAAGUCCCGCAACGAGCGCAACCCUCACUUUUAGUUGCCAUCAUUAAAGUUGGGCACUCUGAAAAGAACUGCCAGUGAUAAGCUGGAGGAAGGUGGGGAUGACGUCAAGUCCUCAUGGCCCUUACGUGUUGGGCUACACACGUGCUACAAUGGUAUCUACAACAGGAAAGCAAGACGGCGACGUUAAG